UUCUUUUUUUUUUUUUUUAAGAUUACAUUUUUAAAAAUGAGAAUUGCUACAAGGAGUUACUUUGGGGUUUGAAUAGCAUUGGGUUGAUUAAUUCCCUCUUGGUUGGAAUGACUAUUUGAGCAUUCAGGCCUUAGAGCCACGACUAUUAAGGUCCAGAAGCAAAAAUGAUUACAUGAUGAUUCAAGUGACUUUCUGAUUAUACUGCUUAAUGAAAUUAACACUGAAGUUUGAAACAUUGUGUUCAGAAGUCAAAUGGUUAUUUUCCAAGGAUCUAUUAAAAAAAAAAAGUUUCAUUUCAGAGGAUAAAAUGUUGCAGUCCUUCUAUCUCCAAGUGAGUAAGGAUUAGUAAGUAGUUCAGUUGGUUCCUGCAAAUUACAGAUUCAGUUAUAUUUUAUUUAUUCAAUAUGGGAGAAGUUUUUGUAAGUGUUGGGUGAGUCAUUUCAUAAGACCAAAGCCAAGCUAAAUUAGAGCAGCCCCUGGUUGAAGAUAUUUUUAUUGCAAUGAGUAGGUCUCUCUCUCAGUUUUGGAUACACAGGUGUGGUCAAACUUUGGCAUAGAAAGUAAGUAGAAUUAUGAAUUCUAAGGCAAUGACUCCUAAUGUCUUGACUAUGCAAUGCUACAGACUCAUCUAUACCCAUUUACUGUAAGAAACAAAACAUGUGACAGAGAAAAGUAGGUAGAAGCAGUUGAAUUUGUUUCCCCUUUAUCUUCCACUUAUCGAUGACCCCAAGGACCCAAAUACCUACUCUUUACAAAAAGGAUAUAAUAUAUAGUUUACAGAGAAAUAACCUCCUAGAAAACUGUUCUUGUGAAUUACUUUUUUGUGCCUAUCAAGCUUUCUAUUUUGUGGGUCGUGGAUUUAAUAGGUUGUAAUGCUGUUUAAACACCAUAGAUACUUAAUGCACCAUGAAAAGCCCCUAAGCUAUGGGAAAUUGCAAAAAUGUCUCAGUGCCAUGGUCACAAAUGUGAAUGAUCUUCUCACCAUGAACUUCAAAGGUAAAAUGAAAUUACAUUUCCCGUAGAUUUCCCAGUGUUCAUUGUCCAGUGACCAUGGUCCCCGAGAUUUCACCUAUGUCUCUCUUAGGAUUCUGUUCCAGUCAGUCAGCCAAUUGUCAGCUACAGUAGCUCUGGAAACUCGUUCUGGGUCGUAUCAGGAGUUUUAUCAAGGGUACAGCCAAGCAGUUGUAACCACAGUUAUCUUUCGGGCACAUCAAAUAAUGACUUUGUGCAGGUCAGGGAGUAGUUUCCUGGUGGUGUCGGUGCCAGUGUAACAGGCAGUUGAAUCAGGAGUCUCUGGUCUAAACAUAGUAUCUAUCAAUAAAGCAGUCACAUGUGCAAGUACUAGUUUUCAUAAUCAAUUUUGGCAAAUAGAAAUCAAGAGAUAUUUAAGAACUAGAAUUUAAAGAUUAUAAUUACAUAGAUAUUCACUUCAGAAUUUGAAAAAUACAUGAAAAGGAAUAAAAUGGUUUUAGCACACAGUAGGGGGUAUGCAAACAUGAUGAUGUAAGCUUCUGUGUUUACAUUUCUUCUCAUUUUUAUACUUACUGUUUUUUUUAAAGAUUUAUUUAUUAAUUUUAGGGAGACAGAGAGUACAUGAUCAGGAGGGACAGUGGGAGAGGGCGAGGGAGGGAGAAUCUUAAGCAGGAUCCACACUGAGUGCCAAGCCUGACAUGGGGUUCUAUCUCAUGACCCUGAGAUCCCCACCCGAGCCAAAACCAAGAGUCAGAUGCUCAACCAACUGCGCCACCGAGGCACCACUUGUUUUUAUUGAGAGAGAAAGUUUAUGAAAUUUUGUUGGGAGAGUAGCAUGUUAUGCUUUCUUUACUGAAAAGUCUACAUCUUCUCCAAAUCAGUA
rnacentral:lncRNA from 1 species